rnacentral:rRNA from 1 species
UACGAAGGGGGCUAGCGUUGCUCGGAAUUACUGGGCGUAAAGAGCUCGUAGGCGGUCUGUUGCGUCGGCUGUGAAAACCCGGGGCUCAACUCCGGGCCUGCAGCCGAUACGGGCAGACUAGAGUUCGGCAGGGGAGACUGGAAUUCCUGGUGUAGCGGUGAAAUGCGCAGAUAUCAGGAGGAACACCGGUGGCGAAGGCGGGUCUCUGGGCCGAUACUGACGCUGAGGAGCGAAAGCGUGGGGAGCGAACAGG